rnacentral:lncRNA from 1 species
GCUUUUGUACCCCUAAAUAUUUUCUAAGUGGAAUGUGACAAAAGACCUUUUUUCAUCUCUCUAGGAGAUUGUUCUAUUAUCCCAGCAAAAGACCAAGAGAACAUGUCACAUGCCUGAUUUAAAGAGGAUGAAAACAGCUAUUUCUUUUGAUCUCUAACAAUCACCUCAGGAUGUUGUUGUGUCUAAGGGCAUAAAGAUGCUUCUGGGUUUAUCUGGUUUUGAAAGAAGGCUUGAAACUAAUCGAGAAGGCCAGAUUGUUUGGAGCCAAAAAGAUCUACAGCCUGGAAGAAGAUUAUGUGUUUUUGUCAUUAGUGAAAUAAUGAGCUGAAGCUCUCAGCCUCCAGAUUUUUCAAGGAUGAGGAAAAUAUUAUGAUAUCAAUUUAAAAAUUUAGUUGUUUGGAGGUAUAUGACCUGGGAAAAAUAUCUGUGAUUGGUUUCAAUCACAGUUGUGCAGUUUCAUUACAAUAAUUACUGACAAAUUAGUAGUGCCAAGUGUUGGUGAUUACUGGAAAUGUUGUGUAAAAAUACCGUUCCCUACAGACCUGUAUGAUGACUUUGUGCUUCAUUUUGGCCUUCAAC